AAACUUGAGAGUUUGAUCAUGGCUCAGAACGAACGCUGGCGGCAUGCCUAACACAUGCAAGUCGAACGAGUGCCUUCGGGUGCUAGUGGCGCACGGGUGCGUAACGCGUGGGAAUCUGCCCUUUGGUUCGGAAUAACAGUUGGAAACGACUGCUAAUACCGGAUG
rnacentral:rRNA from 1 species